rnacentral:tRNA from 1 species
AGGUGAGUAGCGCACCUGGAAGAGCAGCGGUCUCCAAAACCGCAGGUUGCAGGUUCGAGUCCUGCCGCAUCUGCCA